AGCAGUCCUGGGCCCAGCAAGGAGUAGGACCUUUCUCAGCCAUCAAGUGAUGCCACUGGUCAAAUAUAAGUUACAGGAGAGAAAAGCAGGGAGGCAUUGCCAGGAAAGCAGUAUUCAAAUUUCAGAGUUUGCACAGGGCUUGAGAAUCAGUGGGGACCAUGGGCAUUCAUCAUCCUAGCCAAAGCCCACACUGCAGAGCCAGAGAACUGAGCCCAGAGAGGAAAGAGCUGCGGUGGUGUCAUCCGGUACAGGACUAUAGCUCGGGCUCCCUCCCCGACAACCUAAUGCUCUACCUGUUCCUCUGAGUGAGAAUGCCGCUUUCCCAUCAUCUCUGCCAACCUGCGUUUUUCUUUUAUGUAUUUGUUCACCUCAUCAACUCCUACCUCCUGAGCACCUACUACUGUGCCAGACACUGUACAAGGCCCUAGGAUACAGGAAGCAAUCAUUGUGGGAAGAACUAGAAAUAUGAAGAGUCAUUCUUGAGAAACAAAAGAUAAGCAGACAAUCCUAGAAGCUUUUGGAGACUGAAAAAGUCACACCAUGAGGAUCGAGAAUCAGAAUGGCAUCGGACUGCUUAACAUCAACCUAGAACACCACAUGCCAAUAGAGAACUGCCUUCAGAACUCUGAGGGGAGAUGAUUUCCAACUGAGAUUUAUACCUCCAGCCAAACUGUCAAUCAAUUAUCCAAAAACUGAACUCCCAUAUGCAGCCUCCAAGGAAGCUACUGGCGUGUAUAUUACAACAAAAUGAAGGGAGUAAAGCAAGAAAGAAGAUGACUUAGUAUCUAAGAAACAAGGCACCGACACAGGACAGAGGGAAAGGGAAUUCCCAGUGUAACGUUGAAGAGAAAUUUCACAACUUCUACUACAAUGGCCAGGAGAGCAACUGAUCCAGGUAGAAGCAGGAGGGCUCAAAGAAAAAAAACAGAACUGAUAGGUUGCCAGAUGUGUUUGACUAUAUUACGAGAAAUUUUAGAGUUUUAUUGUCACGGUUUGUGGGAAGAAUUAGUAAUCUUACAUCAAAAACUAAUUAAAUUUAAAAACUGAGGUACUUACUAACUCCAGGGAAAACAAAAAGCUGUACAAGACUGCAACUGUAACCAUAAUAUAGUCCCUUGUUUAGCUGUGAAUAAUCUAUAUGUAGAUAUGAUACGGUAACAACUGAGUGUUGAUUUAGCAACUGUGAUAGGACUAUCUUGGAAGAAAAAGUGUGUGUUUGUGGAUGGUGGCUGGUGGAGAACCAGCAAUCUUCCACAGGAGGAAGCCAAUACAUAAUAUUUGAAAAAUACAUCUAGAGAACGAUAUUUAGAAAUAUGAAAGGAAAUGUCAGAAG
rnacentral:lncRNA from 10 species